rnacentral:rRNA from 1 species
CCUGGAGACUCCUAUGGGAGGCAGCAGUGGGGAAUUUUGGACAAUGGGCGCAAGCCUGAUCCAGCCAUGCCGCGUGUCUGAAGAAGGCCUUCGGGUUGUAAAGGACUUUUGUCAGGGAAGAAAAGGCUGUUGCUAAUAUCGACAGCUGAUGACGGUACCUGAAGAAUAAGCACCGGCUAACUACGUGCCAGCAGCCGCGGUAAUACGUAGGGUGCGAGCGUUAAUCGGAAUUACUGGGCGUAAAGCGAUCGCAGACGGUUACUUAAGCAGGAUGUGAAAUCCCCGGGCGCAACCGGUGAACUGCGUUCUGAACUGGGUGACUAGAGUGUGUCAGAGGGAGGUAGAAUUCCAGGUGUAGCAGUGAAAUGCGUAGAGAUGUGGAGGAAUACCGAUGGCGAAGGCAGCCUCCUGGGGUAACACUGACGUUCAUGCUCGAAAGCGUGGGUAGCAAACAGGAUUAGAUACCCUUGUAAUCCUAG